rnacentral:rRNA from 1 species
GCGAACGCUGGCGGCAGGCUUAACACAUGCAAGUCGAGCGCCCCGCAAGGGGAGCGGCAGACGGGAGAGUAACACGUGGGAACAUACCUUUUGGUUCGGAACAACUGAGGGAAACUUCAGCUAAUACCGGAUAAGCCCUUACGGGGAAAGAUUUAUCGCCGAAAGAUUGGCCCGCGUCUGAUUAGCUAGUUGGUGAGGUAACGGCUCACCAAGGCGACGAUCAGUAGCUGGUCUGAGAGGAUGAUCAGCCUCACUGGGACUGAGACACGGCCCAGACUCCUACGGGAGGCAGCAGUGGGGAAUAUUGGACAAUGGGGGCAACCCUGAUCCAGCCAUGCCGCGUGAGUGAUGAAGGCCUUAGGGUUGUAAAGCUCUUUUGCCCGGGAAGAUAAUGACGGUACCGGGAGAAUAAGCCCCGGCUAACUUCGUG